UACAGAAGCCCCGAGCAUUACCCGGAUUCACUGGGCGUAAAGGGUGCGUAGGCGGUUAUACUAGUCGGGUGUUAAAUUGUAGGGCUCAACCUUACAGCCGCAUCCGAAACGGUGUAACUAGAAGAAGUCAGAGGUAAGCAGAACUCUCGGUGUAGGGGUGAAAUCCGUUGAUAUCGAGGGGAAUACCAAAUGCGAAGGCAGCUUACUGGGACUCUCUUGACGCUGAGGCACGAAAGCGUGGGUAGCGAACGGG
rnacentral:misc_RNA from 1 species